GACGAACGCUGGCGGCUUGCUUAACACAUGCAAGUCGAACGAAGUGGCGAACGGGUGAGUAACGCGUAAUCAACCUGCCCUUCAGUGGGGGACAACAGUUGGAAACGACUGCUAAUACCGCAUACUGAAGGCGGAGGUUGCGUGCGCUUAGCUAGUUGGAGGGGUAACGGCGCACCAAGGCGAUGAUCAGUAGCCGGUCUUGGCGGAAGAACGGCCAAAUUGGGAUUGAGACACGGCUCAGACUCCUAAGGGGAGCAGCAGGGGGGAACUGUGCGAAAUGGAGGAAAGGCUGACGGAGGAAUUCCGGGUGAGUGAUGAAAGGCUUUGGGUGGUAAAGCUCUGUGAAUCGAGGCGCGGUACCCGAAUAGACAGCCACGGCUAACUACGUGCCAGCAGCCGCGGUAAUAC
rnacentral:rRNA from 1 species